UACGGAGGGUGCAAGCGUUAUCCGGAUUCACUGGGUUUAAAGGGUGCGUAGGAGGGCAGGUAAGUCAGUGGUGAAAUCUCCGGGCUCAACUCGGAAACUGCCGUUGAUACUAUCUGUCUUGAAUAUCGUGGAGGUGAGUGGAAUAUGUCAUGUAGCGGUGAAAUGCUUAGAUAUGACAUAGAACACCAAUUGCGAAGGCAGCUCACUACACGUAUAUUGACUCUGAGGCACGAAAGCGUGGGGAGCGAACAGG
rnacentral:rRNA from 1 species